ACUCCUACGGGAGGCAGCAGUGGGGAAUCUUGGACAAUGGGGGCGAACCCUGAUCCAGCCAUGCCGCGUGAGUGAAGAAGGCCUUAGGGUCGUAAAGCUCUUUCGCCUGUGAAGAUAAUGACGGUAGCAGGUAAAGAAACCCCGGCUAACUCCGUGCCAGCAGCCGCGGUAAUACGGAGGGGGUUAGCGUUUGUUUCGGAAUUUACUGGGCGUAAAGCGCGCGUAGGCGGACCAGAAAGUUGGGGUGAAAUCCCGGGCUCAACCCCGGAACUGCCUCCAAAAACUCCUGGUCUUGAGUUCGAGAGAGGUGAGUGGAAUUCCGAGUGUAGAGGUGAAAUUCGUAGAUAUUCGGUAGGAACACCAGUGGCGAAGGCGGCUCACUGGCUCGAUACUGACGCUGAGGUGCGAAAGUGUGGGGAGCAAAACAGGAUUAGAUACCCUGGUAGGACAGUG
rnacentral:rRNA from 1 species